rnacentral:rRNA from 1 species
UGGGGAAUAUUGGACAAUGGGCGAAAGCCUGAUCCAGCCAUGCCGCGUGUGUGAAGAAGGUCUUCGGAUUGUAAAGCACUUUAAGUUGGGAGGAAGGGCAGUAAGCGAAUACCUUGCUGUUUUUACGUUACCGACAGAAUAAGCACCGGCUAACUCUGUGCCAGCAGCCGCGGUAAUACAGAGGGUGCAAGCGUUAAUCGGAAUUACUGGGCGUAAAGCGCGCGUAGGUGGUUCGUUAAGUUGAAUGUGAAAGCCCCGGGCUCAACCUGGGAACUGCAUCCAAAACUGGCGGGCUAGGGUAGGGCAGAGGGUGGUGGAAUUUCCUGUGUAGCGGUGAAAUGCGUAGAUAUAGGAAGGAACACCAGUGGCGAAGGCGACCACCUGGGCUCAUACUGACACUGAGGUGCGAAAGCGUGGGGAGCAAACAGG